GCUAUACAUGCAGUCGAGCGGACAGAUGGGAGCUUGCUCCCUGAUGUUAGCGGCGGACGGGUGAGUAACACGUGGGUAACCUGCCUGUAAGACUGGGAUAACUCCGGGAAACCGGGGCUAAUACCGGAUGGUUGUUUGAACCGCAUGGUUCAAACAUAAAAGGUGGCUUCGGCUACCACUUACAGAUGGACCCGCGGCGCAUUAGCUAGUUGGUGAGGUAACGGCUCACCAAGGCAACGAUGCGUAGCCGACCUGAGAGGGUGAUCGGCCACACUGGGACUGAGACACGGCCCAGACUCCUACGGGAGGCAGCAGUAGGGAAUCUUCCGCAAUGGACGAAAGUCUGACGGAGCAACGCCGCGUGAGUGAUGAAGGUUUUCGGAUCGUAAAGCUCUGUUGUUAGGGAAGAACAAGUACCGUUCGAAUAGGGCGGUACCUUGACGGUACCUAACCAGAAAGCCACGGCUAACUACGUGCCAGCAGCCGCGGUAAUACGUAGGUGGCAAGCGUUGUCCGGAAUUAUUGGGCGUAAAGGGCUCGCAGGCGGUUUCUUAAGUCUGAUGUGAAAGCCCCCGGCUCAACCGGGGAGGGUCAUUGGAAACUGGGGAACUUGAGUGCAGAAGAGGAGAGUGGAAUUCCACGUGUAGCGGUGAAAUGCGUAGAGAUGUGGAGGAACACCAGUGGCGAAGGCGACUCUCUGGUCUGUAACUGACGCUGAGGAGCGAAAGCGUGGGGAGCGAACAGGAUUAGAUACCCUGGUAGUCCACGCCGUAAACGAUGAGUGCUAAGUGU
rnacentral:rRNA from 1 species